rnacentral:lncRNA from 1 species
GAUUUCUGAGUUCGAGGCCAGCCUGGUCUACAAAGUGAGUUCCAGGACAGCCAGAGCUACACAGAGAAAAGCUGCCUCGAAAAACAGGAAAACAACAACAACAACAAAAAGAAUACAGUUGAUAAUGCAAAACAAACAAAACCAAAAAACACAUCACUGAAGAGUGACAUGCACACUGUGAGUUUAUAGAACUUAAAUAUAUGGUUCAGUGGGGGCGGGGGGAAUACAUUCCUAAUCACCCGGAAGUUGCCUGAUGUCCCUGCCAAGUCCACAUCCACACUUUCCCAGCCAGAGGUGCGCAGGAGUCAGACCAUGCCGAUUCUUCUUGAGAGUUAUGGAGCUGUGUAUAAACAGGGUCUCCAGGCCCAGAUCCGCUGUGUACAGGUUCUUUCUCAGCAUCGUGCCUGUGCAACUUCUUUGUAGUGACUGUGUGGAUUUUUAACUUGCAGGGAAAUACUCCAUUAUGUGCUAUAUACAAUGCAACCUGGUACCUUUUGUUUACCCAGCUUUCCGUUUGUACUUGGGCCUUUUUUCUUCUUCUCCUGUGUGGGGGCAAUUACAGAUAGGGCAUUUCCUACACUCAGGGCUUCUGUUCCAUGCCUGGCAUUGUCCUAUUGUGUUCCGGUCCUGGCCGUCUGUCCUGCUUUCCUCCCUCUCUGGGAACCUAUUUGGCUGCUGGGACUUAGGGUGUGUGACCUGGACCUUUGAUGGUCCUAUGGGGUCUCACACUACCUUGGAAGGCCAAGCUGUGGCUCUUAGUCCCUUAGAGCUGUGGCUCUAAGCUGUGACAGUCUUAGUCUGGGGAGACUGAGACUUGCUUCAUGGGCUUGCUUCUCUAUUCUUGCUGAUGCUAACAUCUGUGGACCACCUUUUAGCACUGGUUGCUCUUGCCUAACUCUUGUCUGCAUCCCUUGGCUGUCAGCCAGUUGGGAGGCUUCUUGUAUGCCUCCAAUGAGCCUUCAAGGAUGCUUCUGGAACUGGGAUAUUUAUCAGAGACAGAUCAGGAAAGCCAGCACCAUUACACAUGCAGCUCUGUGCUGCCUUGGGGACACAUUCUUGGCUGUCUUCCCAAAACGUUCGUGGUAUGGUACUGUCUGUCAGUAUUAACAAGCAUGGGUGUCCCUAAAUGUUUUUAUCUUUGUGUGUGUGUGUGUACUUGGGUGCACACAACUAGUAGUAUGUGCAUUCCUGCAUAUAAGUAUGCAUUUAUUUGAUUUGUACGUUAUCAUAAAAUAUUUUCUCUUUGCUAGGCAUGAUGGUCUGUGUGUAUAAUCUCAGAGUCCAGGAGGCUGGGGCAGGUAUCUUCUCCACUUCCUUCCUUGUCCCCUCAAAGAUGUUGACUAACAUCAAGGCAACACCUUCUUUGUAGAUGAAAGAGCUGUGUUGAUCUUGAGAAAACUACUCUCUGUGCUUCCGUGUCUCAAAGAAGUCAUCUCUGGUUGCGAGGGCCAAUAUGGCAGAUGCCAUUUACCUGUGGCCAGAGCGCUCAGAACAUGAGACCAGAUUUUAGUUUAAUUUUAAUUAACAUUUAAA